rnacentral:rRNA from 1 species
GACGAACGCUGGCGGCGUGCUUAACACAUGCAAGUCGAACGGAAAGGCCCUGCUUUUGUGGGGUGCUCGAGUGGCGAACGGGUGAGUAACACGUGAGUAACCUGCCCUUGACUUUGGGAUAACUUCAGGAAACUGGGGCUAAUACCGGAUAGGAGCUCCUGCUGCAUGGUGGGGGUUGGAAAGUUUCGGCGGUUGGGGAUGGACUCGCGGCUUAUCAGCUUGUUGGUGGGGUAGUGGCUUACCAAGGCUUUGACGGGUAGCCGGCCUGAGAGGGUGACCGGGCACGGUGGGAGAGAGGUACGACAGGGGCUGCGUCGUGAUGCAGCAGCGGGGUGUGUUGUACGAUGGCCGGGGGCUUGAUACCGCCACGCCGCGGGCGGGAUGAGGGCGUGCGGGUGGUGGAACGCGAUCGCCCGGGACGCAGCGUGCGUGCCGGUAAGGGGUAAAGCGGCACCGGCUCACUUCGUG